AUUGAACGCUGGCGGCAUGCUUUACACAUGCAAGUCGAACGGUAACAGGCCCCAAGGUGCUGACGAGUGGCGAACGGGUGAGUAAUGCAUCGGAACGUGCCCAGUCGUGGGGGAUAACGCAGCGAAAGCUGCGCUAAUACCGCAUACGAUCUAUGGAUGAAAGCGGGGGACCGUAAGGCCUCGCGCGAUUGGAGCGGCCGAUGUCAGAUUAGGUAGUUGGUGGGGUAAAGGCUCACCAAGCCAACGAUCUGUAGCUGGUCUGAGAGGACGACCAGCCACACUGGGACUGAGACACGGCCCAGACUCCUACGGGAGGCAGCAGUGGGGAAUUUUGGACAAUGGGCGCAAGCCUGAUCCAGCAAUGCCGCGUGCAGGAAGAAGGCCUUCGGGUUGUAAACUGCUUUUGUACGGAACGAAAGGGAUCUGGAUAAUACCUGGGGCUCAUGACGGUACCGUAAGAAUAAGCACCGGCUAACUACGUGCCAGCCGCCGCCGUAAAAC
rnacentral:rRNA from 1 species